AGCAGCCGCGGUAAUUCCAGCUCCAAUAGCGUAUAUUAAAGUUGUUGCAGUUAAAAAGCUCGUAGUUGAAUUUCGGGGUUCUACCGUUGGUCGGGCUUUGUCUGUACUGGCGUGUAGAAUUUCUACCUUCUGGGGAACCAUCAUGUUAUUAAUUUAGCGUGGUGGGAAACCAGGACCUUUACCUUGAAAAAAUUAGAGUGUUCAAAGCAGGCUUACGUCUGAAUACAUUAGCAUGGAAUAAUAAAAUAGGACGGUGGUCCUGUUUUGUUGGUUUCUGAAUCACCGUAAUGAUUAAUAGGGAUAGUUGGGGGCAUUAGUAUUCAAUUGUCAGAGGUGAAAUUCUUGGAUUUAU
rnacentral:rRNA from 1 species